rnacentral:rRNA from 1 species
GCGACAGGCUUAACACAUGCAAGUCGAGGGGCAGCACAGGUAGCAAUACCGGGUGGCGACCGGCGCACGGGUGAGUAACGCGUAUGCAACUUGCCUAUCAGAGGGGGAUAACCCGGCGAAAGUCGGACUAAUACCGCAUGAAGCAGGGGCCCCGCAUGGGGAUAUUUGCUAAAGAUUCAUCGCUGAUAGAUAGGCAUGCGUCCCAUUAGGCAGUUGGCGGGGUAACGGCCCACCAAACCGACGAUGGAUAGGGGUUCUGAGAGGAAGGUCCCCCACAUUGGUACUGAGACACGGACCAAACUCCUACGGGAGGCAGCAGUGAGGAAUAUUGGUCAAUGGCCGAGAGGCUGAACCAGCCAAGUCGCGUGAGGGAUGAAGGUUCUAUGGAUCGUAAACCUCUUUUAUAAGGGAAUAAAGUGCGGGACGUGUCCCGUUUUGUAUGUACCUUAUGAAUAAGGAUCGGCUAACUCCGUGCCAGCAGCCGCGGUAAUACGGAGGAUCCGAGCGUUAUCCGGAUUUAUUGGGUUUAAAGGGUGCGUAGGCGGCCUUUUAAGUCAGCGGUGAAAGUCUGUGGCUCAACCAUAGAAUUGCCGUUGAAACUGGGGGGCUUGAGUAUGUUUGAGGCAGGCGGAAUGCGUGGUGUAGCGGUGAAAUGCAUAGAUAUCACGCAGAACCCCGAUUGCGAAGGCAGCCUGCCAAGCCAUUACUGACGCUGAUGCACGAAAGCGUGGGGAUCAAACAGGAUUAGAUACCCUGGUAGUCCACGCAGUAAACGAUGAUCACUAGCUGUUUGCGAUACACUGUAAGCGGCACAGCGAAAGCGUUAAGUGAUCCACCUGGGGAGUACGCCGGCAACGGUGAAACUCAAAGGAAUUGACGGGGGCCCGCACAAGCGGAGGAACAUGUGGUUUAAUUCGAUGAUACGCGAGGAACCUUACCCGGGUUUGAACGCAUUCGGACCGAGGUGGAAACACCUUUUCUAGCAAUAGCCGUUUGCGAGGUGCUGCAUGGUUGUCGUCAGCUCGUGCCGUGAGGUGUCGGCUUAAGUGCCAUAACGAGCGCAACCCUUGCCACUAGUUACUAACAGGUAAAGCUGAGGACUCUGGUGGGACUGCCAGCGUAAGCUGCGAGGAAGGCGGGGAUGACGUCAAAUCAGCACGGCCCUUACAUCCGGGGCGACACACGUGUUACAAUGGCGUGGACAAAGGGAAGCCACCUGGCGACAGGGAGCGAAUCCCCAAACCACGUCUCAGUUCGGAUCGGAGUCUGCAACCCGACUCCGUGAAGCUGGAUUCGCUAGUAAUCGCGCAUCAGCCAUGGCGCGGUGAAUACGUUCCCGGGCCUUGUACACACCGCCCGUCAAGCCAUGGGAGCCGGGGGUACCUGAAGUCCGUAACCGCGAGGAUCGGCCUAGGGUAAAACUGGUGACUGGGGCUAAGUCAUAACAA